CUCAUGAGGUAUGUAUAAUUGUCCUUAUUUUACAGACGAAGACACUGAGGCUCAGAGAUGAUCAGUGAUUUGCUCCAAGUCACACUCUUGUAAUUGACUCAUUUGAUUUGUGCAGUUUCCAAACUACUCCAUCUGGACCAGACAGCCAGGGGGAGCCUCUCUCACAGGGAAGGACCAGGGCAUCAAUCCCACAUGCUGGGCUCCCUCAGGGCCUAUGUGUUUUCUAAUGAGCUCUAAAAUGGAAGCAGUGUGUUCCAAGGACAGGACUCAAUGAAGAAGGUCCUUUGGACCAAAGAAAUUGACAAGAGGUGGAGGAUUUAGAUUCAAUGAACCUUCACUGAUAGCCUACCAUGGACCCAACACUAUGACAGAUUUAAAGAAUGAACUAAGGGGACUUCCCUGGUGGCGCAGUGGCUAAAAAUCUGCCUGCCAAUGCAGGGGACACGGGUUCCAUCCCUGGUCUGGGAAGAUCCCACAUGCCGCAGAGCAACUAAGCCUGUGCACCACAUCUACUGAGCCUGCGCUCUAGAGCCCGCGAGCCACAACUACUGAAGCCCAUGCAGCCUAGAGCCCGUGCUCUGCAACAAGAGAAGCCACUGCAAUGAGGGGCCCUUGCACUGCAAUGAAGAGUGGCUCCCGCUCUCCGCAACUAGAGAAAGCCUGUGCUCAGCAAAAAAAUGACCCAACGCAGCCAAAAAAAAAAAAAAAAAAAAAAAGAAUGAACUAAGAAUCUUGGCUGCCAUUAAUUUCACAGCCUAAAAUUAUUUGCAUCCUUUUUUUUUUGCUUGAGUCAUUUUAAAAAGCCCUUGUGAUUCUUUUAAUCCCCUUUGGUAGAGCAAUUCCAUUCUCUUCUCUCUCAACCUCCUCUCUCCUGAAUGUCCCCUACCCUACCAUGGAAAGCUUUAAAUAAUGCAGCAAAUUCUU